rnacentral:rRNA from 1 species
AGCGUACACGGUGGAUGCCCUGGCAGUCAGAGGCGAUGAAGGACGUGCUAAUCUGCGAUAAGCGUCGGUAAGGUGAUAUGAACCGUUAUAACCGGCGAUUUCCGAAUGGGGAAACCCAGUGUGUUUCGACACACUAUCAUUAACUGAAUCCAUAGGUUAAUGAGGCGAACCGGGGGAACUGAAACAUCUAAGUACCCCGAGGAAAAGAAAUCAACCGAGAUUCCCCCAGUAGCGGCGAGCGAACGGGGAGCAGCCCAGAGCCUGAAUCAGUGUGUGUGUUAGUGGAAGCGUCUGGAAAGGCGCGCGAUACAGGGUGACAGCCCCGUACACAAAAAUGCACAUGCUGUGAGCUCGAUGAGUAGGGCGGGACACGUGGUAUCCUGUCUGAAUAUGGGGGGACCAUCCUCCAAGGCUAAAUACUCCUGACUGACCGAUAGUGAACCAGUACCGUGAGGGAAAGGCGAAAAGAACCCCGGCGAGGGGAGUGAAAAAGAACCUGAAACCGUGUACGUACAAGCAGUGGGAGCACGCUUAGGCGUGUGACUGCGUACCUUUUGUAUAAUGGGUCAGCGACUUAUAUUCUGUAGCAAGGUUAACCGAAUAGGGGAGCCGAAGGGAAACCGAGUCUUAACUGGGCGUUAAGUUGCAGGGUAUAGACCCGAAACCCGGUGAUCUAGCCAUGGGCAGGUUGAAGGUUGGGUAACACUAACUGGAGGACCGAACCGACUAAUGUUGAAAAAUUAGCGGAUGACUUGUGGCUGGGGGUGAAAGGCCAAUCAAACCGGGAGAUAGCUGGUUCUCCCCGAAAGCUAUUUAGGUAGCGCCUCGUGAAUUCAUCUCCGGGGGUAGAGCACUGUUUCGGCAAGGGGGUCAUCCCGACUUACCAACCCGAUGCAAACUGCGAAUACCGGAGAAUGUUAUCACGGGAGACACACGGCGGGUGCUAACGUCCGUCGUGAAGAGGGAAACAACCCAGACCGCCAGCUAAGGUCCCAAAGUCAUGGUUAAGUGGGAAACGAUGUGGGAAGGCCCAGACAGCCAGGAUGUUGGCUUAGAAGCAGCCAUCAUUUAAAGAAAGCGUAAUAGCUCACUGGUCGAGUCGGCCUGCGCGGAAGAUGUAACGGGGCUAAACCAUGCACCGAAGCUGCGGCAGCGACGCNNNNNNNNNNNNNNNNNNNNNNNNNNNNNNNNNNNNNNNNNNNNNNNNNNNNNNNGUAUGCUGGAGGUAUCAGAAGUGCGAAUGCUGACAUAAGUAACGAUAAAGCGGGUGAAAAGCCCGCUCGCCGGAAGACCAAGGGUUCCUGUCCAACGUUAAUCGGGGCAGGGUGAGUCGACCCCUAAGGCGAGGCCGAAAGGCGUAGUCGAUGGGAAACAGGUUAAUAUUCCUGUACUUGGUGUUACUGCGAAGGGGGGACGGAGAAGGCUAUGUUGGCCGGGCGACGGUUGUCCCGGUUUAAGCGUGUAGGCUGGUUUUCCAGGCAAAUCCGGAAAAUCAAGGCUGAGGCGUGAUGACGAGGCACUACGGUGCUGAAGCAACAAAUGCCCUGCUUCCAGGAAAAGCCUCUAAGCAUCAGGUAACAUCAAAUCGUACCCCAAACCGACACAGGUGGUCAGGUAGAGAAUACCAAGGCGCUUGAGAGAACUCGGGUGAAGGAACUAGGCAAAAUGGUGCCGUAACUUCGGGAGAAGGCACGCUGAUAUGUAGGUGAAGCGACUUGCUCGUGGAGCUGAAAUCAGUCGAAGAUACCAGCUGGCUGCAACUGUUUAUUAAAAACACAGCACUGUGCAAACACGAAAGUGGACGUAUACGGUGUGACGCCUGCCCGGUGCCGGAAGGUUAAUUGAUGGGGUUAGCGGUAACGCGAAGCUCUUGAUCGAAGCCCCGGUAAACGGCGGCCGUAACUAUAACGGUCCUAAGGUAGCGAAAUUCCUUGUCGGGUAAGUUCCGACCUGCACGAAUGGCGUAAUGAUGGCCAGGCUGUCUCCACCCGAGACUCAGUGAAAUUGAACUCGCUGUGAAGAUGCAGUGUACCCGCGGCAAGACGGAAAGACCCCGUGAACCUUUACUAUAGCUUGACACUGAACAUUGAGCCUUGAUGUGUAGGAUAGGUGGGAGGCUUUGAAGUGUGGACGCCAGUCUGCAUGGAGCCGACCUUGAAAUACCACCCUUUAAUGUUUGAUGUUCUAACGUUGACCCGUAAUCCGGGUUGCGGACAGUGUCUGGUGGGUAGUUUGACUGGGGCGGUCUCCUCCUAAAGAGUAACGGAGGAGCACGAAGGUUGGCUAAUCCUGGUCGGACAUCAGGAGGUUAGUGCAAUGGCAUAAGCCAGCUUGACUGCGAGCGUGACGGCGCGAGCAGGUGCGAAAGCAGGUCAUAGUGAUCCGGUGGUUCUGAAUGGAAGGGCCAUCGCUCAACGGAUAAAAGGUACUCCGGGGAUAACAGGCUGAUACCGCCCAAGAGUUCAUAUCGACGGCGGUGUUUGGCACCUCGAUGUCGGCUCAUCACAUCCUGGGGCUGAAGUAGGUCCCAAGGGUAUGGCUGUUCGCCAUUUAAAGUGGUACGCGAGCUGGGUUUAGAACGUCGUGAGACAGUUCGGUCCCUAUCUGCCGUGGGCGCUGGAGAACUGAGGGGGGCUGCUCCUAGUACGAGAGGACCGGAGUGGACGCAUCACUGGUGUUCGGGUUGUCAUGCCAAUGGCACUGCCCGGUAGCUAAAUGCGGAAGAGAUAAGUGCUGAAAGCAUCUAAGCACGAAACUUGCCCCGAGAUGAGUUCUCCCUGACUCCUUGA